UACGGAGGGUGCAAGCGUUAAUCGGAAUUACUGGGCGUAAAGCGUGCGCAGGCGGUUUGUUAAGUCUGUUGUGAAAUCCCCGAGCUCAACUUGGGAAUUGCAAUGGAUACUGGCAGGCUGGAGUAUGGUAGAGGAAGGUGGAAUUCCCGGUGUAGCAGUGAAAUGCGUAGAGAUCGGGAGGAACACCAGUGGCGAAGGCGGCGACCUGGGCCAAUAUUGACGCUGAGGUGCGAAAGCGUGGGGAGCAAACAGG
rnacentral:rRNA from 1 species